UACGGGGGGAGCAAGCGUUGUUCGGAUUUACUGGGCGUAAAGGGCGCGUAGGCGGCCACCGCAAGUCGGUUGGGAAAUCUCUGGGCUUAACCCAGAAAGGUCAAUCGAUACUGCGGGGCUAGAGUGCAGAAGGGGCAACUGGAAUUCUCGGUGUAGCGGUGAAAUGCGUAGAUAUCGAGAGGAACACCUGCGGCGAAGGCGGGUUGCUGGGCUGACACUGACGCUGACAGCGCGAAAGCUAGGGGAGCGAACGGG
rnacentral:rRNA from 1 species